UAUUCACUUCUAGCAAAACCAAAACUAUCCAAACUCCCAAUUCUUUUGGCUCGCAAUUGGCAUCGUCAACUUUAGUAAAGUUUUGAAUAUGUUGACUCUUGUGAUCUUGCUUUUUGACCGGAGGUAGGACAAAUUAUAUACUUAAGGAAAAAAGGUUGGGGAGAUCAGGGUAGGGUCGAAGCUAUGUUGGCCCUAGGAUGAUCAACUAGCCACCCUUAAACUAAAUUCUGGAAAUAAAAUAACGACCAAAGUUGGUCGCCAACUUAGUCAAAAUAUUGACUGACUCGGUCAAACUUUUACUGAGAUUAGCGACCAAAGUUGGUCGCUAAAUAAAGGAAAGAAAGGUAACGACCAAUUUUAGUCUUAACUGGGUC
rnacentral:lncRNA from 1 species